rnacentral:lncRNA from 1 species
CCCAGACAGAUGCUGCUCAGUGUUUUGUUUCUGUCUUGGAGAUCUUAAGGAAACGGGGUGGGUCUGAUAGAGCCCCUUCCACAACAAGUUUACUCACUGAAAAAGUUCUGAAACAGAAAAAAAUGGCAAAGAUCUGAUGACAACGCAGCUAUUCCUGUAUUUGUACUCCCUGGGGUCGUUUUCAUCUUCCGUAUCUCCCUUAAUUUAGACCUUGACCAAAGCCCCAUUUUGAUGAAGGUGUGAAAGGCUUCUACAAAAACAGAUUA